GGUAAGGUGGAAACAAGAGCCGAUUCGAGAGGGAAAGCCAUGGGGUCGUCCGCCAGUGAAGAGAAGGGUCUGUCGGAGGAGGAGGGACCGAACACAGUUGUGAUAUGCAUGGUAAUUCUGCUCAACAUUGGUCUGGCCAUUCUCUUUGUCCAUAUCCUGUCCUGAGACACCGGGACUGAGGGCAAACAGUAAUAUGUUUCUUGGCAGCACUGCUGGAGAAAUGCUGGAAGCUGGCCCUCCUACCUUCAUCAGCCAC